rnacentral:rRNA from 1 species
GAUGAACGCUGGCGGCGUGCCUAAUACAUGCAAGUCGAGCGAACAGACGAGGAGCUUGCUCCUCUGACGUUAGCGGCGGACGGGUGAGUAACACGUGGAUAACCUACCUAUAAGACUGGGAUAACUUCGGGAAACAGGAGCUAAUACCGGAUAAUAUAUUGAACCGCAUGGUUCAAUAGUGAAAGACGGUUUUGCUGUCACUUAUAGAUGGAUCCGCGCCGCAUUAGCUAGUUGGUAAGGUAACGGCUUACCAAGGCAACGAUGCGUAGCCGACCUGAGAGGGGGUUCGGCCACACGGGAACUGAGACACGGUCCGAACUCCUACGGAAGGCAGCAGUAGGGAAUCUGCCGCAAUGGGCGAAAGCCUGACGAAGCAACGCCGCGGGAGUGAUGAAGGUCUUCGGAUCGUAAAACUCUGUUAUUGGGGAAAAACAAAUGUGUAAGUAACAAUGCACGUCUGGACGGUACCUAAACAGAAAGCCACGGCAAACUACGU